GACGAACGCUGGCGGCGUGCUUAACACAUGCAAGUCGAACGGAAAGGCCCUGCUUUUGUGGGGUGCUCGAGUGGCGAACGGGUGAGUAACACGUGAGUAACCUGCCCUUGACUUUGGGAUAACUUCAGGAAACUGGGGCUAAUACCGGAUAGGAGCUCCUGCUGCAUGGAGGGGGUUAGAAAGUUUCGGCGGUUGGGGAUGGACUCGCGGCUUAUCAGCUUGUUGGUGGGGUAGUGGCUUACCAAGGCUUUGACGGGUAGCCGGCCUGAGAGGGUGACCGGCCACAUUGGGACUGAGAUACGGCCCAGACUCCUACGGGAGGCAGCAGUGGGGAAUAUUGCACAAUGGGCGGAAGCCUGAUGCAGCAACGCCGCGUGCGGGAUGACGGCCUUCGGGUUGUAAACCGCUUUCGCCUGUGACGAAGCGUGAGUGACGGUAAUGGGUAAAGAAGCACCGGCUAACUACGUG
rnacentral:rRNA from 1 species